AAAAAGGCAGGACAGAAGAACAUCAAC
rnacentral:piRNA from 1 species